rnacentral:tRNA from 2 species
GGAGGUGUCGCAUAGUUGGUCAAUUGCACGGGCUUGCUAAGCCCGAGCCUUCGGGCUACGUGGGUUCGAAUCCCACCGCCUCCGCCA